rnacentral:lncRNA from 1 species
AGGAUUCUACCAGCCUUUCAAAGAACACACAGCAGCGUUCCUCAAACUGUAAUGUAAAAUAUGAAAGAGGGAGCAUUUCUAGAGUCUUCAGCCAGGGUGCCCUGCAAAGCCGCCCUUGUGUCCUCUCCCAACAACUUUGACUCAAGUUCCUCGAGACAGGCUGUUGUCUGACAGAGUCUGUCUAGGACCCAGGAGAGCCACCACAGCCAAGGGAAGACAGAGUUGGAACUUACUGCAACACUCACCUCCAGAGAACCCCGCUGGCUGCAGAAACUCUCAGUCUAGAAGUUCUACAGGACUGAACAUGGUAAUCCCAGGGACAGCCACCACUGAUGGGCUUCACACUCAAAAGACCAGGCAAGAAGCCACAUUUGUGACUGAUGACAUCCAGUGAACCAGAAGGGCAGGGGAAUUAUACAGAACCCUGUGGCUGUAUCCCAGGACAGGGUGUGUAAUGGCUAUUCCUGGUUGUCAACUUGACUAUAUCUGGAAUGGACUACAAUCCAGAAUUGGAAGACACACCUGUGAACCAGAUCUUGAGGCUGGAAGAUACAAGUGUCUGACCUGGAUCUUGGCAUGGAGAUCUUGAGGCAUAGUGGCCAUGAAAAGCUUAGGCCCAGACAAGGUGGUACAUGCCUUUAAUCCCAGGAGACUGUGGCAAGGAGGUCUCUGAGUUCAAGAUCAACCUGGGACAAAGCAAAUCCCAGAUCCGGGCAUUGUCGUGGUAUAUACCUUUAAUCUGGGCCACACUUUCUGCUGGAGGCCUAAACAAGGACAUUGGAAGAAGGAAGAUUCGCUCUUCUUCCCCUGCGUGCACUUACUAGCCAGCACAUCUGUCGGAACCUACUUCUACAGAAGACCAGCUGAAACACCCAGCCUCGUGGAACUGAGCAACUACUGGAUCCUUGGACUUCCCAUUCACAGCUGGCCAUUGUUAGGUUAGUCAGAAUGCAGCAGACUGUGUAAGUCAUCACAAUAAAUUCCGUCAGUAUAGAGAGACAUUCCAUAAAUUCUGUGACUCUGGACAACCUUGACUAAUACAGGGUAGAUGGCUGGAACUCACACAGAAUUUUCUUGUGCUUAAAGCAACCCACAGGCAGCCAGCAGGUGGUCAGCCUUCAGCCUUUGUAUUAAGACCCACCUCCUCACCCACUGUUGCCAGAUGAAUUGAACAACAGGGAAGAUAAUUCCAAUCACAAACCAAUGUGAGUUAUAUUUGAUGUGUUUCCCAUCUGAUAUCUGAGAGAUACUUAAACUAAUGUUUUUGUAUGUGAAAUUCAAAUUUGCCUGGGAUUAGAGUUGGGGUUCAUGUUUGCCAUGUAACAGGGCCUCAGAUCUUAGUCCAACCAACUCACGAUGGAAAUACCAUUCAGGCCAUAAAACUUGGAUGACAGGCAGAGUUUAAUGCCAAAACGAAAACAAAGACCUAAUCCAUC